rfam:Triticum aestivum genome assembly, contig: Triticum_aestivum_CS42_TGACv1_scaffold_221013_3B
UCAUUACUCCCUCCGUCCGAAAAUACUUGUCGCGAAAAUGGAUAUAAAUGGAUGCAUCUAAAACUAAAAGUCGUCUAGAUACAUCCAUUCCUCCGACAAGUAUUUCCAGACGGAGGGAGUAUUUC